GCUGCUUCCGCCCUGGUGGGAAGGACCUCCCCUCCCCCCCGUAGAGAAACACUCUCCUCCGGCCCGGUGGUAUCGGGUUUGAUCGGGAUCGGGUCCUCCCAGUAAUAUGGAAAACGGGGCGUUGGGAACGGGCUCCGCUCUUUUCAGAGUAGCGCUGAUUUCCUCACUUGGAAGAGUGAUUCAGGAAUUGGAUGAGUCCCUGUGGCUUGUUUUGCCCUGAAGAGCAGAAGGCUUCGGUCCCAGCUGGUGUUGCCGAAGCAGC